AUUGAACGCUGGCGGCAGGCCUAACACAUGCAAGUCGAACGAGCGGCGGACGGGUGAGUAAUGUCUGGGCAACUGCCUGAUGGAGGGGGAUAACUACUGGAAACGGUAGCUAAUACCGCAUACUAUCGGAUGUACCCAGAUGGGAUUAGCUAGUAGGUGGGGUAAAGGCUCACCUAGGCGACGAUCCCUAGCUGGUCUGAGAGGAUGACGAGCCACACUGGGACUGGGACAAGGUCCAGACUCCGACGGGAGGCAGCAGUGGGGAAUAUUGCACAAGGGGCGCAAGCCUGAUGCAGCCAUGCCGCGUGUAUGAAGAAGGCCUUCGGGUUGUAGAGUACGUUCAGCGGGGAGGCGUUACCCGCAGAAGAAGCACCGGCUAACUCCGUGCCAGCAGCCGCGGUAAUUG
rnacentral:rRNA from 1 species